rfam:Ictidomys tridecemlineatus contig035455, whole genome shotgun sequence.
GGGGUUGUGGCUCAGAGGUAGAGCACUUGCCUCGCACGUGCAAGACCUUGGGUCCAAUCCUCAGCACCA